rnacentral:rRNA from 1 species
GACGAACGCUGGCGGCGUGCCUAAUACAUGCAAGUUGAGCGCUGAAGGUUGGUACUUGUACCAACUGGAUGAGCAGCGAACGGGUGAGUAACGCGUGGGGAAUCUGCCUUUGAGCGGGGGACAACAUUUGGAAACGAAUGCUAAUACCGCAUAAAAACUUUAAACACAAGUUUUAAGUUUGAAAGAUGCAAUUGCAUCACUCAAAGAUGAUCCCGCGUUGUAUUAGCUAGUUGGUGAGGUAAAGGCUCACCAAGGCGAUGAUACAUAGCCGACCUGAGAGGGUGAUAGGCCACAUUGGGACUGAGACAAGGCCCAAACUCCUACGGGAGGCAGCAGUAGGGAAUCUUCGGCAAUGGACGAAAGUCUGACCGAGCAACGCCGCGUGAGUGAAGAAGGUUUUCGGAUCGUAAAACUCUGUUGGUAGAGAAGAACGUUGGUGAGAGUGGAAAGCUCAUCAAGUGACGGUAACUACCCAGAAAGGGACGGCUAACUACGUG